GACGAACGCUGGCGGCGUGCUUAACACAUGCAAGUCGAACGGAAAGGCGCUGCUUUUGUUGGGUUCUCGAGUGGCGAACGGGUGAGUAACACGUGAGUAACCUGCCCUUGACUGUGGGAUAACUUCAGGAAACUGUGGCUAAUACCGGAUAGGAGCUCCUGCUGCAUGGUGGGGGUUGGAAAGUUUCGGCGGUUGUGGAUGGACUCGCGGCUUAUCAGCUUGUUGGUGGGGUAGUGGCUUACCAAGGCUUUGACGGGUAGCCGGCCUGAGAGGGUGACCGGCCACCUUGGGACUGAGGUACGGACCAGACUCCUACGGGAGGCAGCAGUGGGGAAUAUUGCACAAUGGGCGGACGCCUGAUGAAGAAACGCCGCGUGCGGGAUGACGGCCUUCGGGUUGUAAACCGCUUUCGCCUGUGACGAAGCGUGAGUGACGGUAAUGGGUAAAGAAGCACCGGCUAACUACGUG
rnacentral:rRNA from 1 species